rnacentral:ncRNA from 2 species
UAUCCGUAUAAUAGUCCGGGUUAUAUAAGUUCAUGAUAUGGUUGAACGUUCUUACCUACUACCGAAAAUAGUAGACUAUAGCCUUCAAGCAGGAGGAA